UACGAAGGGGGCUAGCGUUGCUCGGAAUCACUGGGCGUAAAGGGUGCGUAGGCGGGUCUUUAAGUCAGGGGUGAAAUCCUGGAGCUCAACUCCAGAACUGCCUUUGACACUGAGGAUCUUGAGUUCGGGAGAGGUGAGUGGAACUGCGAGUGUAGAGGUGAAAUUCGUAGAUAUUCGCAAGAACACCAGUGGCGAAGGCGGCUCACUGGCCCGAUACUGACGCUGAGGCACGAAAGCGUGGGGAGCAAACAGG
rnacentral:rRNA from 1 species